UACAGAGGUCUCAAGCGUUGUUCGGAUUCAUUGGCGUAAAGGGUGCGUAGGCGGCGCGGUAAGUCGGGUGUGAAAUUUCGAGGCUUAACUUCGAAACUGCAUUCGAUACUGCCGUGCUUGAGGACUGGAGAGGAGACUGGAAUUUACGGUGUAGCGGUGAAAUGCGCAGAUAUCGGGAAGAACACCCGUGGCUAAGGCGGCUGACUCGUAGUACGGUACUGACGCUGAGACGCGAAAGCGUGGGGAGCGAACAGG
rnacentral:rRNA from 1 species